CCUUAUAUGAACAGCUAGGAUAUUAAGCAAAAUGGAUAUUCAUAUCCUACAAUUCCUCUCUUUAGAUCAUAUCGUGAUCUACCUUACGGAAUAUCCAUGGGAGGUCUGCGGCAGAGAAACGAAAGGAGGUAUAUUCAGACGUGCUAAUCAUGUCUGCGGGACUUUCAUUAUUUCUUCACCUCGAUUUCCCCCAUUUGCUCUGUGCUGUAGGUUUUCCCUUUAAGAGGAGAUCGAGCUGUCGAUUUUCAGCUUCUGUAAUCAUCUGUUGUACACAUCUUUUAAGUGUACAAGUUAAAUAUUUUAA
rnacentral:lncRNA from 1 species